GACGAACGCUGGCGGCGUGCCUAAUACAUGCAAGUAGAACGCUGAAGGAGGAGCUUGCUUCUCUGGAUGAGUUGCGAACGGGUGAGUAACGCGUAGGUAACCUGCCUGGUAGUGGGGGAUAACUAUUGGAAACGAUAGCUAAUACCGCAUAAUAGCAGUUGUUGCAUGAUAACUGUUUGAAAGGUGCAAUUGCACCGCUACCAGAUGGACCUGCGUUGUAUUAGCUAGUUGGUGGGGUAACGGCUCACCAAGGCGACGAUACAUAGCCGACCUGAGAGGGUGAUCGGCCACACUGGGACUGAGACACGGCCCAGACUCCUACGGGAGGCAGCAGUAGGGAAUCUUCGGCAAUGGACGGAAGUCUGACCGAGCAACGCCGCGUGAGUGAAGAAGGUUGUCGGAUCGUAAAGCUCUGUUGUAAGAGAAGAACGAGUGUGAGAGUGGAAAGUUCACACUGUGACGGUAGCUUACCAGAAAGGGACGGCUAACUACGUG
rnacentral:rRNA from 1 species